rnacentral:misc_RNA from 1 species
AAUCCUCAAAACCCUUUUUCUUGUUAUCGGAAUCGGGGUUUUGGACUUGGAGGCUCGAUGCUCGCUUUUGCUUUCGAAAGCGAGCUCCUCUUAAAUGAAUUAGUGGGGUCCGCUUUGUCGAUCCUUGACGUGAUAAGAUGUUUCUACGUUUUGGAUUUGGCACCGUUUUCUCCGCUCCUAACCGUCCGUCCCAUGGACAACGAUGGUGCUUCGGUCCCUGCCGUCUACUUUGGCGGGAGGCUGGGCCCACAAAAACGA